rnacentral:rRNA from 1 species
AUUGAACGCUGGAGGCAUGCUUAACACAUGCAAGUCGAACGGCAGCAUGAUGUGUAGCAAUACACAUUGAUGGCGAGUGGCGGACGGGUGAGUAACGCGUAGGAAUCUGCCUUGAAGAGGGGGACAACCCGAGGAAACUCGGGCUAAUACCGCAUAAUAUCGAGAGAUUAAAGUCUGGGUGGUAACACCUGGAGCUUCAAGAGGAGCCUGCGUCCGAUUAGCUAGUUGGUGGGGUAAAAGGCCUACCAAGGCGAUGAUCGGUAACUGGUCUGAGAGGAUGACCAGUCACACUGGGACUGAGACACGGCCCAGACUCCUACGGGAGGCAGCAGUGGGGAAUCUUGGACAAUGGGGCCAACCCUGAUCCAGCGAUGCCGCGUGUGUGAAGAAGGCCUCGGGUUGUAAAGCACUUUAGUUGGGAGGAAGGAUUGUAUUUUAAGAGAUAACAAUUUGACUGUACCAAGAUAAGCACCGGCUAACUCUGUGCCAGCAGCCGCGGUAAUACAGAGGGUGCGAGCGUU